CCAGCCCGCUCAGAAACUCAAGGAAUUGACGGGGCCCGCACAAGCGGUGAGCAUGUGGUUUAAUUCGAUGAUACGCGAGGAACCUUACCUGGGCUCAAAUGUAUGUUGACGUAUUCUGAAAGGGAUACUUCUUCGGACAAUAUACAAGGUGCUGCAUGGUUGUCGUCAGCUCGUGCCGUGAGGUGUCGGGUUAAGUCCCAUAACGAGCGCAACCCCUAUCAUUAGUUGCCAUCAGGUCAAGCUGGGGACUCUAAUGAAACUGCCUACGCAAGUAGUGAGGAAGGUGGGGAUAACGUCAAAUCAGCACGGCCCUUACGUCCAGGGCUACACACGUGCUACAAUGGCCGGUACAAAGGGCAGCUACCUGGUGACAGGAUGCUAAUCUCAAAAGCCGGUCUCAGUUCGGAUCGGAGUCUGCAACCCGACUCCGUGAAGCUGGAAUCGCUAGUAAUCGCGCAUCAGCCAUGGCGCGGUGAAUACGUUCCCGGGCCUU
rnacentral:rRNA from 1 species